UACGGGAGGCAGCAGUGGGGAAUUUUGGACAAUGGGCGAAAGCCUGAUCCAGCAAUGCCGCGUGCAGGAUGAAGGCCCUCGGGUUGUAAACUGCUUUUGUACGGAACGAAAAGCCUGGGGGCUAAUAUCCCCGGGUCAUGACGGUACCGUAAGAAUAAGCACCGGCUAACUACGUGCCAGCAGCCGUGGUAAU
rnacentral:rRNA from 1 species